CCCAGAUGGGAUUAGCUAGUAGGUGGGGUAACGGCUCACCUAGGCGACGAUCCCUAGCUGGUCUGAGAGGAUGACCAGCCACACUGGAACUGAGACACGGUCCAGACUCCUACGGGAGGCAGCAGUGGGGAAUAUUGCACAAUGGGCGCAAGCCUGAUGCAGCCAUGCCGCGUGUAUGAAGAAGGCCUUCGGGUUGUAAAGUACUUUCAGCGGGGAGGAAGGUGUUGAGGUUAAUAACCUCAGCAAUUGACGUUACCCGCAGAAGAAGCACCGGCUAACUCCGUGCCAGCAGCCGCGGUAAUACGGAGGGUGCAAGCGUUAAUCGGAAUUACUGGGCGUAAAGCGCACGCAGGCGGUCUGUCAAGUCGGAUGUGAAAUCCCCGGGCUCAACCUGGGAACUGCAUUCGAAACUGGCAGGCUAGAGUCUUGUAGAGGGGGGUAGAAUUCCAGGUGUAGCGGUGAAAUGCGUAGAGAUCUGGNAGGAAUACCGGUGUCGAAGGCGGCCCCCUGGACAAAGACUGACGCUCAGGUGCGAAAGCGUGGGGAGCAGACAGGAUUAGAUACCCUGGUAGUCCACGCCGUAAACGAUGUCGACUUGGAGGUUGUGCCCUUGAGGCGUGGCUUCCGGAGCUAACGCGUUAAGUCGACCGCCUGGGGAGUACGGCCGCNANAGGUUAAAACUCAAAUGAAUUGACGGGGGCCCGCACAAGCGGUGGAGCAUGUGGUUUAAUUCGAUGCAACGCGAAGAACCUUACCUACUCUUGACAUCCAGAGAACUUUCCAGAGAUGGAUUGGUGCCUUCGGGAACUCUGAGACAGGUGCUGCAUGGCUGUCGUCAGCUCGUGUUGUGAAAUGUUGGGUUAAGUCCCGCAACGAGCGCAACCCUUAUCCUUUGUUGCCAGCGGUCCGGCCGGGAACUCAAAGGAGACU
rnacentral:rRNA from 1 species